GGGAAACACCUUGACAAUAUCAGUGAACUCCAUGAAGAAAUUAGGGCACAUCUUGAAAAUAUUAGUAAGUUCAAUUUUUAUCCCAAUCUAACCUCUCCGUUGAAGUUGUACACAGUUAAAUUGUUGUUGUUUUUAAUUAAAGGAAUAAUGUCAAUUUGAAAAUCAAAUGCACGAAC